GACGAACGCUGGCGGCGUGCCUAACACAUGCAAGUGGAGCGACGAACCAGGCUUCGGCCUGGGGCAAAGCCGCGAACGGGUGAGUAACACGUGGGUAACCUGCCCCGAUGAUUGGGACAACCCGAGGAAACUCGGGCUAAUACCGAAUGUGCCCUACAGCCUCAAGGCUGGUGGGGAAAGGAAGCUUCGGCCUCCGCAUCGGGAUGGGCCCGCGGCCCAUUAGCUUGUUGGUGAGGUAACGGCUCACCAAGGCUACGAUGGGUAGCUGGUCUGAGAGGACGAUCAGCCACACUGGGACUGAGACACGGCCCAGACUCCUACGGGAGGCAGCAGUGGGGAAUCUUGCGCAAUGCGCGAAAGCGUGACGCAGCAACGCCGCGUGGGGGAAGACGGCCUCGG
rnacentral:rRNA from 1 species